rnacentral:rRNA from 1 species
CGAGCGGAAGGCCACUUCGGUGGUACUCGAGCGGCGAACGGGUGAGUAACACGUGAGUAAUCUGCCCCUGGCUUCGGGAUAGCCACCGGAAACGGUGAUUAAUACCGGAUAUGACAUGGACUCGCAUGGGUUUGUGUGGAAAGUUUUUCGGCCAGGGAUGUGCUCGCGGCCUAUCAGCUUGAUGGUGAGGUAAUGGCUCACCAUGGCUUCGACGGGUAGCCGGCCUGAGAGGGUGACCGGCCACACUGGGACUGAGACACGGCCCAGACUCCUACGGGAGGCAGCAGUGGGGAAUAUUGGACAAUGGGCGGAAGCCUGAUCCAGCAACGCCGCGUGAGGGAUGACGGCCUUCGGGUUGUAAACCUCUUUCAGUACCGACGAAGCGCAAGUGACGGUAGGUACAGAAGAAGCACCGGCCAACUACGUGCCAGCAGCCGCGGUAAUACGUAGGGUGCGAGCGUUGUCCGGAAUUAUUGGGCGUAAAGGGCUCGUAGGCGGUUUGUCGCGUCGGGAGUGAAAACGCCGUGCUUAACACGGCGCUUGCUUUCGAUACGGGCAGACUAGAGGUAUUCAGGGGAGAACGGAAUUCCUGGUGUAGCGGUGAAAUGCGCAGAUAUCAGGAGGAACACCGGUGGCGAAGGCGGUUCUCUGGGAAUGACCUGACGCUGAGGAGCGAAAGUGUGGGGAGCGAACAGGAUUAGAUACCCUGGUAGUCCACACCGUAAACGUUGGGCGCUAGGUGUGGGGUCCAUUCCACGGAUUCCGUGCCGCAGCUAACGCAUUAAGCGCCCCGCCUGGGG